UCGGUCCCCCAACUCUGGCUGGGGUUCCGGGAGCGUUCGUCUCUCUGAGGAAGCCUGACUCCAAUGGAGCUUGGGGUAAAGAUGAAGCAGAGGAGAGGUGGCCUGAGGGGAGCAGAACAACUUUGAUUUUUAGUUACUUAACUCGCUCUCGUCUCCUCGCUCCCCUUCCCCAAAACAACUUUCUCUUCCGGGGUCAGGCAGGACCGCCCCCCGAAGCGUACCUUGCGCGCCUUGGGCGCCUCGAGCUACGAGAUUCGGUGUGAUUUUGAGGUGCCCUGGUUGCCAGCAGGAGUGAGCGGACCGCCCUCCGCCCUGCACCGGGCCUGGCCGUGCCCUCUGGUCCGCGGGCACCGCCUGCAGGCUGUUGUAGCCUGGGCUCACAUCUUCAGCAUUGUUUUUAUACCGAGUAAUAGGAAGUCCCUCUCCCCUUACCACCAAAAACAUAUGGGUCAGAGAGUUUGUAAGAUUCUCAUAGAUAUGGAUGCACCCCAUCAGGAGUCCAAACUCAAAAACGAAGUAGCUAAGAUCACUCACUUUGGGGAAGCCAGCUGCCAUAUUGAACAGCCCAGUGGAGAGGUCCACAUGGCAAGGAAUUGAGGACUGCUGACACCAGCCAGCAAGGAACUGAGACUUCUUGCCAAAAGCCAUUCUGCACUACCUCAGUGUAUCUGCAGGAAAACAUCUCAUGAGCCCCAUCUGAAUUUGGAUGUGACUUAGAUUACAAGAUGCCAUAUGGGAUGAGCUUUGGGAGUCCAGAGAGGGGUGAAUGUAAGUAUAUUUUAUCUGUGUGGGAUGUGAAUCCUUAAAGACCAGAAAGUACACUGUAAUAUCUAGUCUUACACAUGACACCCAGUAUUCUUGUUCUUAUGUAAUUAGUCCCGUCCCACAUGACAUCUGGGAUAACUUUGUGACUUGCUUUAACUAUUAGAAUAUGGCAGAAACAACAUCAUGCCGGUUCUGGGCAUAAGACUCAACAAGGCCAGGCAGCUUUCACUUUUGCAUUUUGGGGAUCUCUGAGUUGUCAUAGAAGACAUUCAGAUACCCUGAUGGAGGAAUCAUAUGGAAAGGUCAUGUGGACAGGGAAGAGGCCUAGAUCCAUGGAAACAAAGAGAGGAGCCCAGUUGUCUCAGCUGAGCCCAACCUCCCAGCCUUCCCCCCACAAGGUGUCAGUGAGUGAAGCCAUCCUGGCUGUUGUAAUUCCAGCUGCUGUUUAAUCGUAGCUCCAUGAGACACCCCAAGUGACACCACCACAACCGCCCACUGAGUCCCAGUCAAUCCGUAGAAUUAUGAGCAAUGACAGAAUUGUGGCUGGUUUAAGCCACUACGUUUUGGAGUGGUAAGAAAACAACAUUUCUAUACUAUUACUCUACUUUGUGAACCUGCUAUAUCUCUCCUUUAGUUAGAUCUUCAAUUUCCCCCAACAAUGUUUUAUAGUUUUCUGU